rnacentral:rRNA from 1 species
UACGUAGGGGGCAAGCGUUGUCCGGAAUCAUUGGGCGUAAAGAGCGCGUAGGCGGCCCGAUAAGUCCGCUGUGAAAGUCAAGGGCUCAACCCUUGAAUGCCGGUGGAUACUGUCGGGCUAGAGUCCGGAAGAGGCGAGUGGAAUUCCUGGUGUAGCGGUGAAAUGCGCAGAUAUCAGGAGGAACACCAGCGGCGAAGGCGGCGCUCUGGGCUGGCACUGACACUGAGGAGCGAAAGCGUGGGGAGCGAACAGG